GACGAACGCUGGCGGCGUGCCUAAUACAUGCAAGUAGAACGCUGAAGAGAGGAGCUUACUCUUCUUGGAUGAGUUGCGGACGGGUGAGUAACGCGUAGGUAACCUGCCUUGUAGCGGGGGAUAACUAUUGGAAACGAUAGCUAAUACCGCAUAACAAUGGAUGACACAUGUCAUUUAUUUGAAAGGGGCAAUUGCUCCACUACAAGAUGGACCUGCGUUGUAUUAGCUAGUAGGUGAGGUAAUGGCUCACCUAGGCGACGAUACAUAGCCGACCUGAGAGGGUGAUCGGCCACACUGGGACUGAGACACGGCCCAGACUCCUACGGGAGGCAGCAGUAGGGAAUCUUCGGCAAUGGGGGCAACCCUGACCGAGCAACGCCGCGUGAGUGAAGAAGGUUUUCGGAUCGUAAAGCUCUGUUGUAAGUCAAGAACGGGUGUGAGAGUGGAAAGUUCACACUGUGACGGUAGCUUACCAGAAAGAGACGGCUAACUACGUG
rnacentral:rRNA from 1 species